CACCGAAAGGAGCAGCAGGAGCGUGGUCUGCUGGGACGACAGCGCACUGGGCUGCAGGGGAGCGUCGGGACCGAGGCUGGUGGCCAUGCUGGAGAGAGAAGGGCGAAGGCGUGACGCUCAGCUAUCAAGAGGUGAAGCCAGAAUUCGAACCCCGAGUCCCAUUCCAGAUCCAUCAUACACGUUUAUGUGGAGGGAAAUCCUCAGAUGAAGUGAGGGCUCUGAGGCCCACGAAGAAGAAAUAGUGGGAUCGCCUUUGCAGUAAAAUCGGAUGAGAGAGGCCUGUGUACUACGCCUCAUAGCUGACCUUGAAAUACGUGGUUCGAUGUUAAAGAAGCCUAAAGAGGUAUCUGAAAAUCAGACCUUGUGAGAGACUGAAACCAACAAUAACCAAUCUGACCUGAUAAGAAAAUGCUUUUUGUAGAAGUCUCCAUUCAGUAGUGUUUGAGA
rnacentral:lncRNA from 1 species